rnacentral:sRNA from 4 species
UGACUGCAAAUCUGCCGUCAUCGACUUCAAGGUUCGACUCGAGCAAUAGUGAGAGAACGUUGCCGCAGGCAACGGCCCGAAGGGUGAGGAGCUUUAGCUCCGAAUAAUCCUUCCCGCUAUAGAA